GACAGAGGUGCCGAGCGUUAGGCGGAAUCACUGGGCUUAAAGCGUGUGUAGGCGGACUUCUAAGUACCUUGUGAAAUCCCACAGCUCAACUGUGGAACUGCUUGGUAUACUGGGUGUCUUGAGCCACUUAGGGGCUACCGGAACAAAUGGUGGAGCGGUGAAAUGCGUAGAUAUCAUUUGGAACGCCAAUGGUGAAAACAGGUAGCUGGGAGUGUGCUGACGCUGAGACACGAAAGCCAGGGGAGCAAACGGG
rnacentral:rRNA from 1 species